UCUCUCUCUCUCUCUCUCUCUUACUCACGUCGUCUUCUUCACCGAUUCACCCAUCUGCCCUAGAUCAACCUCAAUCAUCGAGUCUGCUGAUCUUCCCUUAAAAUCACCAUCGUCUCCACCACAUUGAUCUUAGUUCUGUUCAUACACAAAAUUGUAACCCUAAAAUCAUCAGCUUACAUGAUCCGCCAUUAAUGAAAUCGAGAAGGUAGUAAAGGCGUCUUUCCAGAUCCAAAUUGGAUCAACAAAAUGUACGUUGUGCAUCUCCGAGCUAGGUAUUCGCGGAUCACUGAAACGAAAUGUCUGAUGUGCAUCUCUAAACUAAUCACCAUUAAGAAUCCAUGGUCCCCUCCGACAAUCAUCACCCCAUCAAUUGAUCGCCUUCCUCAUCGCCUCCGUUCCGUCUCCAUCAAUCGACGUUGUUUCCGAUCAAAUUUGGAAGAGGAGAUUAACAAAAUGAACUCUAGUGGUUGACAAUGGAAUUUGUUCCAAUGUACGAAUAUUCGCACAACACAGAGUUAUGAUGCAAAAACAUUCUUUGAUUGAUGUAAAAUCUAAAUUCAUCGAACAAUCUAGGCUUCAUUGUGGCAAUUAUCAACAAUAUGAAGGUGUGAUUUAGCAUUCAAGGAUUCAGUUAUUCUUGAAACAUUCAUCGGUCAGAGCCAUUGCUGAUGCAGCUUCUCUCCCCAAAAUUGCCAUGUUGGAGUUCAGAUCAAGUUUCAUAAGGAUGUCUGGAUUCCCUGUUCCUUCUCUUACUCUUGCUUGUCUUUUAGAAACUUCAUCAGCCUACAAAUUAAGAUAAUGUCAUUAAAUAAUUUACUUUUUUAUCCAUUAAGAAAAAAAAAUCAUUUAUUAAAAAGAAAAAUGGAACACCUGUACUUCAGCCUCUUGUCUCAUUCUAUCAUAUCUUUGAGCAAGACGACGAGCAUCUUCUAGUGGAGCUCCCAUUACCAUUUCUCUUACUAGCUCUGCCACCUGUUCAAGAUUUGAAAAAACUUUCUAUUUUUUUUGUACUUUAACUCUUUCUAUUUUUAUAACACUAAUUUGAAAUAUCUACACAGUUACAUUUGUAUAAUAAUGGUUUGUAUUAGAACCUGAGUCCCAAAUGAUUUAAGUAGGUUUCCUCUUUCCUUCUCCAUUAAAGCACAAGCUCUUGAAAUGUUUUUUGCAGCUCUGGAUAGUGUGCUACCACUAGUGCAUGUGUUCUCAACACCAUAUUUCUUGCUAUCUUUGGAAAAUUUUGUCCCUGUUCAAAAAACUCUUCACAUGAAUUUACAAAUUACAACACAAUGUCCAUCAAAUGGACUUGAAAAGAAAGUUGGAAAAAGAAGGUGCUUUUGAAUCUGGUAGUUUGCCUAAUAAUGUCAUAUUAAUUGGCCACUCUAUGGGUGGUUUUGUUGCCAGAGCUACAAUUGUGCACCCUAAUUUGAUAAAGUCAUCAGUUAAAAUUGUUCUCACUUUAUCAACUCCACAUCAGUGAGUUUCUUAGACUUUCUAACUAUCAUUGUAUCCAUAAUUGUGAUGUAAUUUUCUUUACUCUUGCUUCAGGUCACCCCUCAUUGCAUUUCAUCCUUCAUUGAUCCAAAAAGUGUUGAAUGGUACAAUUUCCAUAUCAUAAUGAACAACCUCUGCACAUCCACGAUUUUGUCUAGAUUUGAACUAAUAUAUUGUUCCUUCACCGAUCUAAUCGAGUUGAAUACAGUGCACAAAAUGUGGGCAUUCACUCAGCUUUGAUGGACCUUAUACGCUCGUCUAAAGACACUACCAGAGCUUGGGAUACUCGCUCUUACCAAAAGGUUUCUUCCUUCACGUGUCUCUAACAAUUUGAUUCCUGAUUUUGAUGUUUUGAAAUACAAUUUUACUGUUUGAUAUAUUCUUUUUGUCUAUAUGCUAGUGAUAUUGGUUCUUAUUUGAUUUUGAAGGUGGUUUAUUGUAUAUAUCUAAGUUUGAUUUGGAUCUUUUACCUUGAUUGUGUCAUGUAUUUGUUAAAGUUUCUUUUGGAACCAUUUAAUAUUAUUUGAUUUGAUACUAAUACUAUAAAUCUGUUACAAAUGACAUUUCAGCAUCUGAACUUUUAUUAACAGAGGCAAUAUGCAGGUAUAUAGUAUUAUUUAAUUUGUUUUUGAUUAUUUGUUUGAAAAAUAACUUUUUCAAAAUAACAUUAUUUUAUGGUAGGCUCUAAAAAUAGAAAUCACCCCAGCUCCAAAUGCAAUACUAUCUCCAGAACCAAUAAACAACCUGGAAUGUGCGGGUAUAUAUGUACUAACUUGGUAUUUAUACAUGUACAUAUUUUUUUCACAUAGUUGUUUACUAACUUGGUAUCUAUACAUGUACACAUUUUUUCACAUACUAACUUGGUGAUUCACUUGUGAUUCACACAUGAAUUACAUGUGAUUCACAUAUGAAUAACAUGUGAUUCACAUGUAAAUCACAUAUGAAUCACAUGUGACACACAUGUAAAUCACAUAUAAAUCACAAAUGAAUUACAUGUGAUUCACAUGUAAAUCACAUAUGAAUUACAUGUGAUUUACAUGAAAAUUCACAUAUGAAUUACAUCUUAUUCACAUGUAAAUCACAUAUGAAUUACAUGUGAUUAACAAUUGAAUUACAUGUGAUUAACAUGUAAAUCGCAUGUAAUUCACAUAUGAGUUACAUGUGAUUCACAUGUAAAUCACAUGUGAUUCACAUAUGAAUUACAUGUGUCACACCCCAAAACCGGAACGGCGGAAACGUUCGGAGGCGGAGGACGUCAUGAACAAUAUCAUAACAAUGCAAAAUAGUAAACAAGCAACAACAUCAUCCAUUUUAUUAAGAGUAUAAUUUCAUAAAAAUGUGUUCUUUAAUAGUAAUAAGACACCAAAAAUGAAUAAUCAAGAUAAAGACGAGUCUUGACUGCUCCGUCUUCUCAAAACCUAGUCAUCGUACCAGUCUACUGGUGACCUAAGAAUGCAAGUUAUUUUUGAAAGCGUAGAUCAGCAUUUAAGCUGGUGAGUUCAUAAGUAUUUAGUGUUAAUGUUUGUAUAAGUUUAAUGAAAAUUUUUGUAAAUGUUCAAUGUAAAUGUUUGUAUAUGUUUGAAAACUCCUAGAAAAUUCUAUAUUUCCUACUAGUAAUAAAAGUAGUCUUCUACCAAGACUCGACUAUUUUGUAUGUUAGUUUCUCUGUAAAAGUGAAUGUUUUUCCCAAGUAUGACUAUCAUUAUCGAAAUAUAGUUUUAUAUUACCCGUUAUGUGAGAAGAUCACAAUUUGAAUAUAAUGGGAAAACUAUAAGUGUGUACUGCAGUAUUAUAUGUAUUAAUCACUGUAGUAAUAACUACCUUAAAACCAAUGGUUUAAUUA